rnacentral:lncRNA from 1 species
AUCAGUUUCUUCCCUUCGUCGUCUAGGUAUUGGUACAAAGAAUAUUUCUCAACCUGCUCGAGAAAGGCAACAAAAGGCACGACAUGGCCGAGAGAAAGUCGGACCUUCUAUUGCUACACCUCCUCCUCCACCUGCUCGAGAAAGGCAACAAAAGGCACGACAUGGCCGAGAGAAAGUCGGACCUUCUAUUGUUGCACCUCCUCCUCCACCACCACAAUUGAAUUGGCAGCGACUUUUUACUAGAUUGGACGAUAUUAAGUAUCGGUUGGAACGAAUGGAUACUCGCAUAGAAAAGAUUAAGUAUCACGUAGGCAUUCCUCCACCUCAUGCCGG